rnacentral:lncRNA from 10 species
GAGCCUGAGGGGAAUGUUUCAAGGAAGAGGGGACAAGCAAGUCAGCAUCUGGAGGAGAGGCAGCACUGUGUUGCAUGGCUCCAGAGAACACCACUCUCUUUGUGUUCUAUGCAACAUGCCCACGAGUUAUGCAUUGCAGCACCUGGCCAUAAAUCAUCACCAACCCUAUGGAUGAAGCAACACCCCAGGGAGGGUGGAGAAGUACAGGGGAAGGAGCCAGGGCCCCCAUGAAACAAACAUUUCUUCCAGGAAUUUCCCAAGCCCAGACCAUUGCAUGAAAAGAGAAAUAAAAUACUCUUUUGUUUCCAUCACAUUGUUUUUGGUCUCAGUUGGAGCAGCAGACCCUAUAUUGCAACAAACAGACUCAAUCACCCUCAUUA